rnacentral:rRNA from 1 species
UAUCUCUGUAGAGUCUGCAUAUCAAUAAGCGGAGGAAAAGAAACUAACAAGGAUUCCCUUAGUAACGGCGAGUGAAGCGGGAAGAGCUCAAAUUUGAAAUCUUCAAGGUUUGACCUUGACGAAUUGUAGUUUAAAGAAGUGUUUUCGGUUAGAGGAGUAGUAAAAGUUCUUUGGAAUAGGACAUCAUAGAGGGUGAGAAUCCCGUAUUUGACUAUUCUUUCUAGCUUUGUGAUACACUUUCAAAGAGUCGGAUUGUUUGGGAAUGCAGUCCAAAAUGGGUGGUAAAUUUCAUCUAAAGCUAAAUAUUGGCGAGAGACCGAUAGCGAACAAGUACCGUGAGGGAAAGAUGAAAAGAACUUUGAAAAGAGAGUUAAACAGUACGUGAAAUUGUCAAAAGGGAAGCGUUUGACACCAGUGUUGUUUUUCCGAAAAUCAAUUAAAAAUUGAUUCAUGCCAGGUUGUAUUGACCUUAUCAGCUUGCAAUUUGGUUUUGGGUCUCUUUUUGAUGCACUUUUCGGUUAACAAGUCAACAUCAAUUUCCUUUGCUGUAAAAAGGUAAGAGGAAGGUGGCUUCAAUUUCGGUUGAAGUGUUUAUAGCCUUUUAUCUCUGCAGUCGGGGAGAUUGAGGUCUGCAGCGUAGAUCCUUCGGGGCUAGAUACAUUUAUGCUAAGUUAUAGCUUUUCAUAGACAACUUGUUGACUAUGUUUAGUCAUGUAGCUUACUCGUAAGUGCUAUUUUACCUACGCUUAGGAUGUUGAAGACUCUACAGAGAUA